UCUAAAACUUUGAUUGAAGGGGAAAAGAAACAACAGAAGACAAUUGAUGUACAAGAGUCCCUUCUGACCUAGAAUACAAAAGAGUAGAAAACAGAGGAAAGCAAUUCCUGGAUAACAAAUAACAGAUUAUCAAAGAAUGGAAGGUCCCUAAGGUGUGAAAUAGGAAAAAUCAAAGAUCCUGCAUAAUGAAGCCUGAUGAUGGAAGCCACCCACAGUUUGAAAAGGAAAGCAGUCUCCUUGGCAGAUAGUUUCAAAAUUCCAAGUCCUGUCUAAAAUCAAUGAGAGCCAUCCCAUUGUACAGUAUUUUUGAAGGCAAAAAGGAAAAAAAAAAGAGCAAAAACCCCCAGGACCCGAUUGAAUUGAAAAAAAAUACGUAAAUAGGUGCAAACUACAUGGAACACCUGUGGGCCUCUCACCUCAAGAAAGGGAAGUGUUGGGGAAGUCCUGAGUCCUCUG